rnacentral:rRNA from 1 species
GACGAACGCUGGCGGCGUGCUUAACGCAUGCAAGUCGAACGGUAAGGCCCUUCGGGGUACACGAGUGGCGAACGGGUGAGUAACACGUGGGUGAUCUGCCCUGCACUUCGGGAUAAGCCUGGGAAACUGGGUAUAAUACCGGCUAGGACUCCGGACUGCAUGGUCUGGGGUGGAAAGCUUUUGCGGUGUGGGAUGGGCCCGCCGCCUAUCAGCUUGUUGGGGGGGUGAUGGCCUACCAAGGCGACGACGGGUAGCAGGCUCUGAGAGGGUGCCCGGCCACACUGGGACUGAGAUACGGCCCAGACUCCUACGGGAGGCAGCAGUGGGGAAUAUUGCACAAUGGGCGCAAGCCUGAUGCAGCGACGCCGCGUGAGGGAUGACGGCCUUCGGGUUGUAAACCUCUUUCAGCAUCGACGAAGCGAAAGUGACGGUAGGUGCAGAAGAAGGACCGGCCAACUACGUGCCAGCAGCCGCCGUAA